ACCUGCCCAUUGGAAUCUAAAAGGCCGCGGUAUUAUGACCGUGCUAAGGUAGCAUAAUCAUUAGUCUUUUAAUUGAAGGCUGGUAUGAAUGGUUGGACAAGAAAUUAGCUGUCUUAAAUAAAAAUAUUGAAUUUAACUUUUAAGUGAAAAGGCUUAAAUUUUCUAAGGGGACGAUAAGACCCUAUAAAACUUUAUAUUUUAAAAUAAUAAUUAAUUUUAUAUAGAGGAUUUAUUUUUAAAUAUUUUAUUGGGGUGAUAAAGAUAAAAUGUAAGAUAACUGUCUUUUUUUUUUUACAAGUGAUAUUUGAGUAAAAGAUCUUAAAAAAGGAAAUAAGAGAUUAAGUUACUUUAGGGAUAACAGCGUAAUUUUCUUUAAGAGUUCUUAUCGACAAGAAAGUUUGCGACCUCGAUGUUGAAUUAAAAGUUCUUUAUAGAGUAGAUAUUAUAAUAGAGGGUCUGUUCGACCCUUAAAAUUUUACGUG
rnacentral:rRNA from 1 species